UUGAACGCUGGCGGCAGGCCUAACACAUGCAAGUCGAGCGGAUGAAGGGAGCUUGCUCCUGGAUUCAGCGGCGGACGGGUGAGUAAUGCCUAGGAAUCUGCCUGGUAGUGGGGGAUAACGUCCGGAAACGGGCGCUAAUACCGCAUACGUCCUGAGGGAGAAAGUGGGGGAUCUUCGGACCUCACGCUAUCAGAUGAGCCUAGGUCGGAUUAGCUAGUUGGUGGGGUAAAGGCCUACCAAGGCGACGAUCCGUAACUGGUCUGAGAGGAUGAUCAGUCACACUGGAACUGAGACACGGUCCAGACUCCUACGGGAGGCAGCAGUGGGGAAUAUUGGACAAUGGGCGAAAGCCUGAUCCGGCCAUGCCGCGUGUGUGAAGAAGGUCUUCGGAUUGUAAAGCACUUUAAGUUGGGAGGAAGGGCAGUAAGUUAAUACCUUGCUGUUUUGACGUUACCAACAGAAUAAGCACCGGCUAACUUCGUG
rnacentral:rRNA from 1 species